UAUAGGUUCGUUGGUGAGCCCGUAAAACCAACAUAGGUUUUUGGUGAACCCGAAAAACUAAAGUGUAAAGGUUUUUGGAUUGUGAGCCCGGAAAACAAUCCAACUGUAAUCCGCGGGAUUAUAGUGAAUUCCCAAGGGGUCGCUUGGGGAGUGGACGUAGGUGCUAAGGAGAGCACCGAACCACUAUACUUCUUGUUGUUUGUAUUGUGAUUUGUUUAAGUUCACUAACUCAUCAUUUAACAUAAGUAAGAUAGUUAAAAUUAAAAGAAACCAAUUCAC
rnacentral:lncRNA from 1 species